rnacentral:rRNA from 1 species
ACACUGACGCUCAUGUACGAAAGCGUGGGUAGCAAACAGGAUUAGAUACCCUGGUAGUCCACGCCCUAAACGAUGUCAACUGGUUGUUGGGGGAGUGAAAUCCCUUAGUAACGAAGCUAACGCGUGAAGUUGACCGCCUGGGGAGUACGGUCGCAAGAUUAAAACUCAAAGGAAUUGACGGGGACCCGCACAAGCGGUGGAUGAUGUGGAUUAAUUCGAUGCAACGCGAAAAACCUUACCUACCCUUGACAUGUCCGGAAUCCUGAAGAGAUUUGGGAGUGCUCGAAAGAGAGCCGGAACACAGGUGCUGCAUGGCUGUCGUCAGCUCGUGUCGUGAGAUGUUGGGUUAAGUCCCGCAACGAGCGCAACCCUUAUCAUUAGUUGCUACGCAAGGGCACUCUAAUGAGACUGCCGGUGACAAACCGGAGGAAGGUGGGGAUGACGUCAAGUCCUCAUGGCCCUUAUGGGUAGGGCUUCACACGUCAUACAAUGGUCGGUACAGAGGGUUGCCAAGCCGCGAGGUGGAGCCAAUCCCAGAAAGCCGAUCGUAGUCCGGAUUGUUCUCUGCAACUCGAGAGCAUGAAGUCGGAAUCGCUAGUAAUCGCGGAUCAGCAUGUCGCGGUGAAUACGUUCCCGGGUCUUGUACACACCGCCCGUCACACCAUGGGAGUGGAAUCUGGCAGAAGUAGGUAGCCUAACCGCAAGGAGGGCGCUUACCACGCUGGGUUUCAUGACUGGGGUGAAGUCGUAACAAGGUAACCGUA